rfam:Medicago truncatula strain A17 chromosome 1, whole genome shotgun sequence.
UUACCUUUCUCGGCCUUUUGACUAAGAUCAAGUGUACUAUCUGUUCUUAUCAGUUUAAUAUAUGAUAUGUGGUUCAAUGGGUCACACGAUAUUAAAUUACUUUUUUUAAGGGGGAGAGGCCAUUUCGAUAGCUUGCUAUUGAGCUUUUCAAGUGUAGCUUAUGUGUUGCACUACUGCAUAGGCCGUCGCACCCCAC